rnacentral:tRNA from 1 species
GCGGAUUUAGCUCAGUAGGGAGAGCGCCAGACUGAAGAAAUCUGGAGGUCCUGUGUUCGAUCCACAGAAUUCGCA